GACGAACGCUGGCGGCGUGCUUAACACAUGCAAGUCGAACGGAAAGGCCCUGCUUUUGUGGGGUGCUCGAGUGGCGAACGGGUGAGUAACACGUGAGUAACCUGCCCUUGACUUUGGGAUAACUUCAGGAAACUGGGGCUAAUACCGGAUAGGAGCUCCUGCUGCAUGGUGGGGGUUGGAAAGUUUCGGCUGUUGGGGAUGGACUCGCGGCUUAUCAGCUUGUUGGUGGGGUAGUGGCUUACCAAGGCUUUGACGGGUAGCCGGCCUGAGAGGGUGACCGGCCACAUUGGGACUGAGAUACGGCCCAGACUCGUACGGGAGGCAGCAGUGGGGAAUAUUGCACAAUGGGAGGAAGCCUGAUGCAGAAACGCCGCGUGCGGGAUGACGGCCUUCGGGUUGUAAACCGCUUUAGCCUGUGACGAAGCGUGAGUGACGGUAAUGGGUAAAGAAGCACCGGCUAACUACGUG
rnacentral:rRNA from 1 species